GAUGAAGAACGCAGCGAAAUGCGAUACUUGGUGUGAAUUGCAGAAUCCCGUGAACCAUCGAGUUUUUGAACGCAAGUUGCGCCCGAAGCCAUUAGGCCGAGGGCACGCCUGCCUGGGCGUCACACGUCGUUGCCCCCCCAUCUACUCCUUCGGGAUUGCGGGGGGCGGAUGAUGGCCUCCCGUGCGCCUCGUCGCGCGGUUGGCAUAAAUACCAAGUCCUCGGCGACGCACGCCACGACAAUCGGUGGUUGCGAAACCUCGGUUGCCCGUCGUGUGCGGUCGUCGCGCAUCGAGGGCUCGAAAAAAUUGCCGGGCUCCGGCUCGGCUUUCAACGCGACCCCAGGUCAGGCGGGGUUACCCGCUGAAUUUAAGCAUAUCAAUAAGCGGAGGA
rnacentral:misc_RNA from 1 species